UACAGCUACAGCUACAGCUUCAGCUACAACUACAGCUGCAGCUUCAGCUACAGCUUCAGCUACAACUACAGCUGCAGCUGCAGGUAUAAGUACAGUCGCCCUUGCAGCAUUCGCUUUUAUCAUUGUGGGCAUCGUCGCUGGAUUUACAUAUGUAGCCGUGAAAAAUGGUUCAAGGAUGAAAAUGGGUGUGAGAAAGGGAUCUUUUGAAUUCUAUUUUGAAUCUGAGGGAAAACAAAAGGCCUGACUCUGCUCUGCAAGCAGUAGCCCUUGCCUUGCUGUCCUGAGGAAGAACUGAUGAGUACUGCCAAUGAACAGAAGCACAUUUCCUUCCUUCCGAGCAGCCUGAUAUGUGUCUUCCCACUGUGGGAAUUGAAAAGUGCCUUCUGACCCUAAGCUGCACAAUUAAGAUAUUUAGAUUGCUUUGAGCACUAAAUUAUUUUAAAUCUUUAAUAAAAGCGCUAUGGUGGUA